GACGAACGCUGGCGGCGUGCCUAAUACAUGCAAGUAGAACGCUGAAGGAGGAGCUUGCUCUUCUGGAUGAGUUGCGAACGGGUGAGUAACGCGUAGGUAACCUGCCUGGUAGCGGGGGAUAACUAUUGGAAACGAUAGCUAAUACCGCAUAACAGUAGAUGUUGCAUGACAUUUGCUUAAAAGGUGCAAUUGCACCACUACCAGAUGGACCUGCGUUGUAUUAGCUAGUUGGUGGGGUAACGGCUCACCAAGGCGACGAUACAUAGCCGACCUGAGAGGGGGAUCGGCCACACUGAGACUGGGACACGGCCCAGACUCCUACGGGAGGCAGCAGUAGGGAAGCUUCGGCAAUGGACGGAAGUCUGACCGAGCAACGCCGCGUGAGUGAAGAAGGUUUUCGGAUCGUAAAGCUCUGUUGUAAGAGAAGAACGAGUGUGAGAGUGGAAAGUUCACACUGUGACGGUAUCUUACCAGAAAGGGACGGCUAACUACGUG
rnacentral:rRNA from 1 species